rnacentral:lncRNA from 1 species
CACACCUGCAGCAUAUGGAAGUUUCUAGCAUAAGGGUCAAAUCGGAGCUACAGCUGCCAGCCCACAUGCCACAGUCACAGCCACACCAGAUCCGAACCACGUCUGUAACCUACACUACAACUCAUGGCAAUGCCAGAUCCUUUACCCGAAGAGCGGGGCCAGGGAUGAAACCCGAAUCCUCAUGGAUACCAGUCAGGUUCGUUAUCGCUGAGCCACAACAGGAAUUCCCCCGUUGUUCUUUUCCUUAUUGUCAAGUUUUAAGAGUUCUUUGUAUAUUUUGGGUGACAGUCCUGUAUCAGAUAUUUAUUUUAUGAACAGUCUCUCCCAGUCUGUAGAUUUUUCUCUCAUUCUCUUGACAGUGUCUUUCACAAAGCAGACACUUUUAAUUUUAAUGAAGUCCAGCUUAUCAAUAGUUUUUUCAUGGAUUAUGCCUUUGGUGUUGCAUCUAAAAAGUCUUGGUAAAACCCAAGGUCACCCAGAUUUUCUCCUAUGUUAUGUUUUAUAGUUUUGUGUUUUAUAUUUAGGUCUAUGACUCAUUUUGAGUAAAUUUUUGUGAAGAACAUAAGGUUUAUGUCUAGAUUCAUUUUUUUUGCAUGUGGGUAGCCAGUUAUUUUAGCACAUUUUGCUGUUGUUUUCCACUGUUUUCUUUUAGAAUUUUUAUUUUUUGGAAUUUGGAAAUGAUAUACGGGGUGUAGUUUUUUGUUUGCUUGUUUGUUUUUAUGGCCAUACCUGCAGUAUAUGGAAGUUCCUGAGCUAGGGGUAGAAUAUGAGCUGAAGCUGCUGGCCUAUGCCAUAGCUACAGCAACACUGAAUCUAAGUUGCAUCUGCAACCCAUGCUGCAGGUUACAGCAACGCUGGAUUCUUAACCCACUGAGUGAGGCCAGGGAUCAAACCCACAUCCUCAUGGAUACUAGUUGGGUUCCUAAUCCACUGAGCCACAAGAGGGAUUCCAUAGUUUUUUAUUUUUUAUUUUGGAGCGGAACAUUUAUGCUAUUUGUUGUUCUCUGAAUCUCCUAGAUCUGUGCUUUGAUGACUGUCAUUUAUGGGGGGAAAUUCUUAGACAUUAUUGUUUCAAAUAUUUCUUCUGUUUUUUUUCCUGUUUAAUCCCCUGGUAUUUCUAUUAUGUGUAUGUUACACCUUUUGUAAUUGUUUUACAGUUCGUGGAUAUUCUAUUCUUUUUUUCUUUAGCAUUUAUUUCAAAAUCAUAGUUAUUUUAAAUUCCCAGUUUGAUAAUAGCAACAUCAUUACCAUAUCUGAGUUUUGUCUUAUGCUUGUUCUGUCUCUUCAAACUGUGUUUUUUUUUUUGCCUUUUAGUAUGUAUUCUAGCUUUUUUCUUUUUGAAAUUCAGACAUGAUGUACUCAGAACUAGUUUCCAUGGUGGUUUCUGCUCCAGUAAGUUGUGAUUCUCUGUAUCUGCCUGUCAUCUCUCCAGCUUUGGAGGCAGUGGUUUGCUCUGUGACUUCAAUUUUCUGACAGACCUAAAUGGAAUUGUUGGUUUAGUUUGUUCAGCUUUUUACUUGUUAUUAGGAUAGAGUGACAACUUACAAAUCAUUAUAUUCCAGACCAGAAACCAGAAAUCUCUCGAUGCCAUUUUAUUUUCUAUUGAUCUAAUUAUGACUGAAAUUGGGCAUAUUUUCAUAUUUUUCUAUGUAUAAGGGAUAUUGAUCCUUCUGUGAACUUUGCCCAUCAUAUCCUCUUCCAGUUUAGACUUUGAAUUAUCAUUGUUUCCUUCUUUAUUUUCAAGAACUCUUUAUAUGUUGGGGAGAUGAUUAGCUCUGUUUGUGAAAUGAGUUGCGUUUCACCCCCAUGCAUUUUUCCAUUUGUCUUCUGACUCUACUUAUGGUAUAUAUAUUUUAAGACCGCACCCGGGGCAUAUAGAAGUUCCUGGGGCAGGGACUGAAUCCAAGACACAGCUUCAACCUAUAUUGGAGCUAUGACAAUGCCACAUCCUUUAAACCACUGUGACAGGCUGGGAUCAAACCUGUGCUUUUGCAGCAACCCAAGCGGCUGCAGUUGAAUUUUUAACACACGCACCAGAGUGGAAACUCCAUUGCUGUUGUGGCUCAGUGGGUUAAGAACCUGACAUAUUGUCCAUGAGGAUGCAGGUUUGAUUCCUGGCCUCGUUCAGUAGGGUUAAGGACACAGAGUAUGUUGGAGAUGUGGCAUGGACCUGGCGUUGCUGUGGCUGUGGCAUAGGCUGGCACCUGCAGUUCUGAGUUGACCCCUAGCCUGGGAACUUCCAUAUGCCUCAGCUGGGGAAUGCCUCUCUGGCUGCAUCAAGCUGGUGGAUGCUGAGCUGGGAGGUUGCAGAAAGCAUCUUUCACACCUCUGAAACCUUGGUUUGGGCAGGGGAGGGGGAGGCCCUGGUGCUCCUCCAUGUGGCCUCUCUCCUUCACGAGGUGAUCAUCCCCCAGGGUCUCUCUCAUGGCUGCAGAGCCUCAACUUCCCUCUGGGGUGACUCUGAGAUCCAAGAGGGUAAAAGUGGCAGGUCAGCCUUCUUCUUCUUCUUCUUUUUUUUUUUUUUUUUGGUCUUUUGUCUUUUUAGGGCCACACCAGCAGUGUAUGGAGGUUCCCAGGCUAGGGGUC